AAUGCCCUGCUUCCAGGAAAAGCCUCUAAGCAUCAGGUAACACGAAAUCGUACCCCAAACCGACACAGGUGGUCAGGUAGAGAAUACCAAGGCGCUUGAGAGAACUCGGGUGAAGGAACUAGGCAAAAUGGUGCCGUAACUUCGGGAGAAGGCACGCUGACACGUAGGUGAAGUGAUUUACUCAUGGAGCUGAAGUCAGUCGAAGAUACCAGCUGGCUGCAACUGUUUAUUAAAAACACAGCACUGUGCAAACACGAAAGUGGACGUAUACGGUGUGACGCCUGCCCGGUGCCGGAAGGUUAAUUGAUGGGGUCAGCGUAAGCGAAGCUCCUGAUCGAAGCCCCGGUAAACGGCGGCCGUAACUAUAACGGUCCUAAGGUAGCGAAAUUCCUUGUCGGGUAAGUUCCGACCUGCACGAAUGGCGUAAUGAUGGCCAGGCUGUCUCCACCCGAGACUCAGUGAAAUUGAACUCGCUGUGAAGAUGCAGUGUACCCGCGGCAAGACGGAAAGACCCCGUGAACCUUUACUAUAGCUUGACACUGAACAUUGAGCCUUGAUGUGUAGGAUAGGUGGGAGGCUUUGAAGUGUGGACGCCAGUCUGCAUGGAGCCGACCUUGAAAUACCACCCUUUAAUGUUUGAUGUUCUAACGUGGACCCGUAAUCCGGGUUGCGGACAGUGUCUGGUGGGUAGUUUGACUGGGGCGGUCUCCUCCUAAAGAGUAACGGAGGAGCACGAAGGUUGGCUAAUCCUGGUCGGACAUCAGGAGGUUAGUGCAAUGGCAUAAGCCAGCUUGACUGCGAGCGUGACGGCGCGAGCAGGUGCGAAAGCAGGUCAUAGUGAUCCGGUGGUUCUGAAUGGAAGGGCCAUCGCUCAACGGAUAAAAGGUACUCCGGGGAUAACAGGCUGAUACCGCCCAAGAGUUCAUAUCGACGGCGGUGUUUGGCACCUCGAUGUCGGCUCAUCACAUCCUGGGGCUGAAGUAGGUCCCAAGGGUAUGGCUGUUCGCCAUUUAAAGUGGUACGCGAGCUGGGUUUAGAACGUCGUGAGACAGUUCGGUCCCUAUCUGCCGUGGGCGCUGGAGAACUGAGGGGGGCUGCUCCUAGUACGAGAGGACCGGAGUGGACGCAUCACUGGUGUUCGGGUUGUCAUGCCAAUGGCACUGCCCGGUAGCUAAAUGCGGAAGAGAUAAGUGCUGAAAGCAUCUAAGCACGAAACUUGCCCCGAGAUGAGUUCUCCCUGAGACUUAGAGUCUCCUGAAGGAACGUUGAAGACGACGACGUUGAUAGGCCGGGUGUGUAAGCGCAGCGAUGCGUUGAGCUAACCGGUACUAAUGAACCGUGAGGCUUAA
rnacentral:rRNA from 1 species